rnacentral:lncRNA from 1 species
UUGUACCCGCCUGCCUCAUCUGACCUAGAAAUUUAUGUUUUGCAUGUCCUUAUUCCACCCCAAUUCUCCUGUACCCGCUUCGACUUAUAUUUUUAAUUCAAGCAUGUUUUAUUAGUUAAUCACAUGAAAUGCACAAUUAUUGUUCAGUAAAGAAGCAAUAAAAAAACAGCAUAAUGGAAGCAAUUCUGAAUAAUGAAAAUACCAGGGUAAUUUAAAACAUUGGUAAUACAGGGAUCGUCACAUAUGGAUCAAUAAUGCAACAGCCUGACGUUCUUAAACAAACUACAAUAAUCCUAACCUUAAAUUAUUAAGGAGAUCGAUCGAAUGCUUCGUGAAAGUUUCAGAAAACAAUUUUGGGAAGCAUGAUCAGAAGACGACAACAGUACUAGCUAGCACCCAUUGCGAAUACUACUACAUUAAGGGCAGCUCACAUGCUUCACCCCAAAGAAAGAUAAUUCUUUUCUCAAAUCGCCUUGAAAUGGUCCUUGUCCACCGUUGUAUAAAUUUCUCCAAUCUCAAGCAAUAUGGCCAAGGCCUCCCUGCAACGUAAGAUCGCAGAAUUAAUAAAUUUUAUUCAUUUCAAAACAAGUAAAUUGUCAAUUAGAAAAAAGUAAAUAUAUAACUAUUUUACCUCGCCACAGGCUCCUCUAUUUUAAGCGUCUCUAAGAUGUAACCGAUAGGUGUACCUUUCUCCCCAUCGCUGCAAGACAACAUAUAUUGUCAAUAAUACACC